GGAUUCCCUUAGUAGCGGCGAGCGAACCGGGAGAAGCCCAGCUUGAAAAUCGCGUCGUUUCCGCGGCGCGAGUUGUAGUCUGGAGAAGUGUCCUCUGCGGCGGACCCGGCCUAAGUCCCCUGGAAAGGGGCGUCAGAGAGGGUGAGAACCCCGUCGGGCCGGGACCCUGCCGCUCCACGAGGCGCUGUCUACGAGUCGGGCUGUUUGGGAAUGCAGCCCUAAGUGGGAGGUAAAUUCCUUCCAAGGCUAAAUACAGGCGAGAGACCGAUAGCGAACAAGUACCGCGAGGGAAAGAUGAAAAGGACUUUGAAAAGAGAGUUAAAAAGUGCUUGAAAUUGCUGGGAGGGAAGCGAAUGGAGGCCUCGUGUGCGCCCCGGUCGGAUGCGGAACGGCGUGAGCUGGUCCGCCGCUCGACGCGGGGCGCUGGUCGACGUGGGCUCCUCGGGCGGGACAAAAGUCGGCCUUCAGUGGCCGGCCGAUGCCGUCGGAGGGGCCGAGGAACGAAGUGCGCGCCCCCCUCGGGGGCGGGCUCCCUCGGGAGCACCUGCGCACUCGGGACGUCGGCGUAGUGGGCUUUUCAUCCGACCCGUCUUGAAACACGGACCAAGGAGUCUAACAUGCAUGCGAGCCGGUGGGCGGCAAACCCACGUUUGAGGCGAAAAUAACUUGACAGGUGUGAUCCCCUCUCGACCGGGGUGCAACAUCGACCGACCAUGAUCUUCUGUGAAAGGUUCGAGUAAGAGCAUGCCUGUUGGGACCC
rnacentral:rRNA from 1 species